rnacentral:rRNA from 1 species
UACGUAGGUGGCAAGCGUUAUCCGGAUUUAUUGGGCGUAAAGGGAACGCAGGCGGUCUUUUAAGUCUGAUGUGAAAGCCUUCGGCUUAACCGGAGUAGUGCAUUGGAAACUGGUUGACUUGAGUGCAGAAGAGGGAAGUGGAAUUCCAUGUGUAGCGGUGAAAUGCGUAGAGAUAUGGAGGAACACCAGUGGCGAAGGCGGCUUCCUGGUCUGCAACUGACACUGAGGCGCGAAAGCGUGGGGAGCAAACAGG